rnacentral:rRNA from 1 species
GACGAACGCUGGCGGCGUGCUUAACACAUGCAAGUCGUACGGUAAGGCCCUUUCGGGGGUACACGAGUGGCGAACGGGUGCGUAACACGUGAGUAACCUGCCCACAACUUUGGGAUAACGCUAGGAAACUGGUGCUAAUACUGGAUAUGUUCUCCUGCUGCAUGGUGGGGGUUGGAAAGCUCCGGCGGUUGUGGAUGGACUCGCGGCCUAUCAGCUUGUUGGUGGGGUAGUGGCCUACCAAGGCGGCGACGGGUAGCCGGCCUGAGAGGGUGACCGGCCACAUUGGGACUGAGAUACGGCCCAGACUCCUACGGGAGGCAGAAGUGGGGAAGAUUGCACAAUGGGCGCAAGCCUGAUGCAGCAACGCCGCGUGCGGGAUGACGGCCUUCGGGUUGUAAACCGCUUUCAGCAGGGACGAAGCUUUUUGUGACGGUACCUGCAGAAGAAGCACCGGCUAACUACGUG